UUUUUUAUCUGGACUGUUUACAUGUUGACGACUGAUAGCUGCUACCUACUCUGACCCUGCCUGCCUUGUGACUUUGUCACUGAAGAAAGCAAUAUUAUGGAUAGAAGAUUCACAUUAGAGCUCAGUCUGGCUUCUGGCUCCUCAGAUGCCAGUCCUAUUCUUUGAUCAAUGGUCACAGAAGACGUCAAGGUCCUGAGUUUGUUGGUGAUAUUAAGUGUAUAAAGCACUUGGAAAGUGACUCAUCGUCUGUAGUCAGACAGUCUUCACUAUAAAAUGUAAAUGUUCUAGACUUUUUACUUAUUUUAUAAGGUUGCAUAAGAUGCAAUCACAGAAAAUCUGUUCAUAAAAGCAUAAAAUCUGUUCACAUGGCUUUGACACAUGGUACUUGCCUUCUCUAUUAAAGAAAUUACAUAAUCUUUUUUUUUUGUCUAUAAAGAAAUAUUUUUACAUUCCAUUUUAUAACCACCAAUAACAUAAACAAUGCCCUUUUACCUAACUUCCCUUACUACCAUACCUUACUAAUUUAAAGAGUAAAUCAGCCCUUUUCUUUGUAAUUAACCUAUCAAUAUUCUUAAAGGAAAUACGCAGUCAAAGAUGAAAACAAUUGAGAUCUGCAAGCAGUCAUAAAUACAUGAGCAAAUAAAUAUAACUGAGAAUGAAUAGGGGUAUUUGUUUGGCAUUUAUUAUGUGUAUUCAGAGUUGGGUUCUUGGACUCGGGACUUGGACUCAGA
ensembl:lncRNA